rnacentral:lncRNA from 1 species
AAUUUGCCCAUCUGCAUGGCAAAGACCCACCUUUCUCUAUCUCACCAACCUGACAAAAAAGGUGUGCCAAGGGACUUCAUCUUACCUAUCAGUGACGUCCGGGCCAGCAUAGGCGCUGGGUUCAUUUACCCUUUGGUCGGAACGGGAGGCAGAGAAGCUCCCCUCUGGCUCUAGUUGGAGAAUCCCAACCCAAGCAAGUCCAUCCUUAAACAAUAAACAUCUCCAGCAUUGCUGGCUUUGGAAGACCCCAUGGUGAGAUGCUGGAGCUUUUUUCCGCUCCAGAUUUCGCUUCUAAAUAUUUACUUUUACUUUCCAUGUUCACUUAUAGGCCAGGGUUUUUUUUUCCUACCAUUGAAUUAUUUCGUCAUGUUCUAUUUAAUUAUUGCUUUAAUUGGCAUUGGUGACCACAAAUAAUAAUAAAUACUAU